GUAAUUUUGAACCUUCGGCAGCACAUAUACUAAAAUUGGAACGAUACAGAGAAGAUUAGCAUGGCCCCUGCACAAGGAUGACACGCAAAUUCAUGAAGUGUUCCAUAUUUUU
rfam:Merops nubicus contig36712, whole genome shotgun sequence.